AAUUCGUGGUGUAGCGGUGAAAUGCUUAGAUAUCACGAAGAACUCCGAUUGCGAAGGCAGCCUGCUAAGCUGCAACUGACAUUGAGGCUCGAAAGUGUGGGUAUCAAACAGGAUUAGAUACCCUGGUAGUCCACACGGUAAACGAUGAAUACUCGCUGUUUGCGAUAUACUGCAAGCGGCCAAGCGAAAGCGUUAAGUAUUCCACCUGGGGAGUACGCCGGCAACGGUGAAACUCAAAGGAAUUGACGGGGGCCCGCACAAGCGGAGGAACAUGUGGUUUAAUUCGAUGAUACGCGAGGAACCUUACCCGGGCUUAAAUUGCAGAUGAAUUACGGUGAAAGCCGUAAGCCGCAAGGCAUCUGUGAAGGUGCUGCAUGGUUGUCGUCAGCUCGUGCCGUGAGGUGUCGGCUUAAGUGCCAUAACGAGCGCAACCCUUGUUGUCAGUUACUAACAGGUUCCGCUGAGGACUCUGACAAGACUGCCAUCGUAAGAUGUGAGGAAGGUGGGGAUGACGUCAAAUCAGCACGGCCCUUACGUCCGGGGCUACACACGUGUUACAAUGGGGGGUACAGAGGGCCGCUACCACGCGAGUGGAUGCCAAUCCCCAAAACCUCUCUCAGUUCGGACUGGAGUCUGCAACCCGACUCCACGAAGCUGGAUUCGCUAGUAAUCGCGCAUCAGCCACGGCGCGGUGAAUACGUUCCCGGGCCUUGUACACACCGCCCGUCAAGCCAUGGGAGCCGGGGGUACCUGAAGUGCGUAACCGCGAGGAGCGCCCUAGGGUAAAACUGGUGAC
rnacentral:rRNA from 1 species